CCCCUUUUCAUGAUCUACCGCAUUUAUACACUUGUCAUUUGACUUGUUCUUCACUUUAUUCUUGUGAGCUGCUUUUCGAAGUGCGAUCAGUUGGGCUUCCGUAUACUCUUUCACUAGGUACUCUUUCUCAAUCUCCUUUAAAUUUUCCUCAUGUCUCAUAAUUUUAGUUCAAGCUCAGAGUCUAGCUACGACUCCCAUUCUUCACGGUCAUCCGCGACCUCGCCCCAACCCCUUGCUAAGAUAGGUCCUUCUAGUAUUCCUCCUAGGGUAGAAACUGAUAUAGAAAUUAUGAGUCCCACAAAUAAUACCCUUGAAUAAUAUGAAGUUAUGAUGUCUAGGGAGUCAUGGGAUAGGACCGUUAGUACUCUGAACAUUGCCUCUAGAGUGAUUAGAGAAAAAUAUUAUAUCCCUAGAGAUUUUGAUAUACUCCUGACUCGAUCUUUUGAUAGAAUGCAUCAUCCUCCUGAAGGGUUCUAUCCCUUAUCCAUUGCUCACCUAGAGGCAGGUCUCCGUUUUCCCCUCCCUCAACCUGUAUCCAAAAUAUUAAGCCAAUUGGAGGUGUGUCCGAUGCAACUAGAAUUCGCCAUAUACUUGCGUUUAUAUUAGUCAUGCACUGUCGUCAACUUGAACCCAAUUUUGAUAACUUCUGAUCCCUUUAUAAAUUCACGACCUCGAAGAGGUCUGGUGAACGGGGAUUUUUCUAUCUUACCUCUAGGUCAAACUGUAGGUUCUUAGAUAAAAUUAAAUCCAAUGUAGGCCUCUAGAAGGAUAAGUUCUUUUUUAUUCGUCCCCCAUCUGGUUAAAACUAGCUUUUUUCCCUGCGCAUGGGGUGAUUUAAAGCACCCGAGACUUAUGGGGGGGGGGGGCUAGAUGACGAUGUAAUUAAUAGUGUCACCCUUUAUUGGUACAAGGCUGAUAAGCUUUUUGACAGAGAGCAUCCUGAAGUUGGUUGAUCUGUCUCCAUCACUUCUCCAAGUCCGAGGUUCGUUAGAGCUCGUGCUAAGAAAGGCACUUUACCUACUAACAUUGCUGCGGGAGCUGGUUCUUCACAACCACCUUCGGCUACUCCAUCGUAGGGAGAUCGUGCUCCCCAUCUCAAGGGAAUGAGAUCGUAGACACCUAAUCGAGUUUGACUCCUGGUCUUUCUUGAUGUUUGCUGAUAAGAAACAAGCGAGUUGAGUUUGAGAAUUUGAUCGCAAGGUCUCUGUUGCUGGAUUUCUCUGAGAAAUCUGAUUCAUAUGAGUGCUCUUCGUGGUGACUUAUUAAAGAGUAGUCUACAGAGACAUAGAGAGUAGCAAAGAGAAACCCUAGACUGAUGAUGACGACUCGUCGAUUUGGUCUAUUCCGGUGGAUAACAGCAGCACUAGGGAUGACGAUGAAGAAGAAGAGGGAGAGAACUGUCCCGAGGAAGAAUGUGAUGACAAUUAUUAUCAAUAUGAAGAAUAAGAAUGGCAUGAAUUUGGUGAACAUAAUGUUGACCUGCUUGACAAGCUUUAUAAAGGAAUCAACAAGAAUAAUGUGAAGGAGGGGCCAAAGUUUAAGGGCAAACACAUUUAGUUUAUUUACAGCAACGAUGAUGAGAUUCAAGACGAGGAGCAAGUGUGUGGCAGUGAUGAUGCAUGUGAAUCACCACUGAUGGAUGCUUCUUCACCUAGUUGUGGGAUGUUGCAUUUGAAAGGUUUAUCGACGCCUAAAGGGAAGCAUCUCCGAUUUCCUCAGGAAUUAGAGAUGAGGGAUAGAUGAAAUGUUGUCGUCAUCAUGGGUUGUUUUUGCUUCUGAUGAUGGUUGUUGUAAAAAUUGUGUGGCCCAAAUUUGCCUGAGGCCUAAAGCCCAUCGCACUGGAUGGCUAAAACAUCUCGGCCUACUUAGCUUCCCGGCCCAUAUCAACUAUCCAAGCCCACUUCCCUUACUCGGCCACCAGUCUGAUCCGGUACCACCUCUUUAAAUAUGAUGCCUCUCUCGCUCUUAGUAAAAAUCCUAGCCCUAGUUCCCGAAGCUUAGAUUCUUCGUCUUCUAUCUCCUUCUGUCCCUGGUCUUGGUUUCUCUUCCGUCAUUUCUCGUUUCUCCCUCCACCGCCUCUUUUCUCGAUCAUCCCUUCUGGCUAUUAAUGGCUAGUCCCUUAAAUAUUCGAUUUCAUUCUGGUUCAAACUAGACCUGAAAUCUUAUACUCUAAUAUCUCCUCUGGGCUCCCAAUUAAAAAUUCUUAGUGAACUAACCUUUGUGGUUGAUAACGAUCCUGAGUUGAUAUGUGCUUUUGUAUUUCUAUGUUUUAAGCAACUAUGAGUUGGGUUGCAGGCCUUUGUGGCGUUUGGGUUUACAGUAUCCGAAUCUGGCUUUCUGAAACUAAGAUCUUCUAUCUUUUCUUAUUCCUUUAACUGCUAUAUUAUUUACAAUAUAAAUCUGUUUGUACUUAUAUAGAUCUAUAAUUAUUUUUAUUUUUUAUUCUUAUCUUGUUGAAUAAUUGUGUAAGAGUAUCAAACCCAUUUAUUUUUUUUGUAAUAGUUUGAUUGAAGUUGAUUUCUGAGCUUUAUUGCUGGAGUUGAUAACCAACAGUUGUCUUCCUUGUGAUACCAUCAUGGUUGUCUAAGAUUGUUUCUAUUGUUUGAUGAUUCAAUUGGUUUACAAUUGUGCUGAUGAUGGCUUGGGAAAAGAGAUGUAUUUUGCUGCUUUCAUUCUAACUGAUAUAUAUCAAUUGGUAUUGAUUUUAUGAUUUCUUGAAUUGGCUUCUGGCUAUAUCAAUCUAAAUGUGUGAUGCUUCCAGGCUUUGAGAAUCAUAUUCAGAAAAUCAUAGAAAUGUACAAAAAUAAUUAAAUGUUUUUAGAUAAAGAAAUUUGGAUACUUUUAAUCAUUCAACAUCAUGCAUCUUUUGAAUUCAACAUAUUUUGAGCAAACCUGGAGCACAAAAUGAAAACAGGGAGAGAAGGUGAAUGGGAAAUGAGGGAUUAGAUUGAUUUGACAUCAAUUUUAUUUUAUUUGAAGUUAAAAUUGUAAUUGUAGUUUCCAAUCACUUAAAUAAUAUAAACAAGUAAAUACAAAAUACUUGGAUUAUUGAAUCUAUCCUAAGUUAAUAAACAGUUAUUAAAUAUGUAGUCAAUUUAAAGUCAAUCACAAAUUAAUAUUUUGACACUUAAACAGUAAACAUGGGCUUAAUUGAUUGACAAAGUCAGCUACGGCCCACGUGUAUUUGCGUGUUACCAAGCCUUAUCACCACUAAAAUUUUACUUAAAAAUCACAAUCACAAGUACGUCAGAAUCAUCAUAUAUCCAAGAUAUGCAUAUAUAUAAUUGCUCUCUCUCACCAUCAACAGCCCUCUCCCAUGGAAUAUUUUCUUCAUACCAUAUAGUGCCGGAAAGUAGUUAAAUCCAGCUGCAGAAUCAGAGGAGCAAAGCCCGGCCGGCCCCUUGUCUCAAGGGAUGUGCCUAGGAUUGAGCUGGUACUGGUCAGCUUUCAGGUGGCCGGAAUUUGGUCUUUCCACAGUACUUUCAUCCAUAUUCCGGUGGCCGGAACUCCAUUUCUCCUACUUCUCCAGGGGUGGAUGGAGUGUAUGGAUGGAGGAGGUGUUAUGGGGUGUAGUGUCAGCGGUGGAGUACUUAGCUUUGGCUACCAUGCUUUGUUAUUUCUUCAUAUUUUGUGGUUGUACUUUAUGAAUCAUUCAUAUUCAUAUUGGUAUGUAUAGGAUUAGGAUUAGGAUUAGGAUAAGGAUAUAUAGGUAGGAGUACUACUUUUUUAAUGUAUUUUUUUGGUAUUAGAUUUUUAAUCUUCUUUUAUUUGGUUAUUUGUUUUAGUUACUUAAGAUUUAGUUUUAAAGAAUCAAAGAUUAUUAUUUUC